AGUUUGUUGAUGCAAUGUUCCUCUCCCACGGUUGCUAUUGUUUCCUUAGUAACAUGAUUGUUUAUUAUUGCGAUUUAUUAAAUUUCUUUUCUUCGAGUGAUAGCUCAACUACAGGAUUACGUUGUAUUCUCUGCAAAGGAUAAAUGCAUAUUGGGAAUCACACCCUUAGUGGAAUUUUAUUUUCGGUAGUGAAAACAGGAGAUUGUGUGAUGUGACCGACUACCAUCGUGCUUUUUUCAUCUC